UGCCCCAUGGCUGAGUUGGUUACAGCGUCCGACUGUUAUGAAUUAAUAAAUCGGAAGGUCGAGAGUUCGAGCCUCUCUGGGGCAG